GAUGAACGCUGGCGGCGUGCCUAAUACAUGCAAGUCGAGCGAACAGAUAAGGAGCUUGCUCCUUUGACGUUAGCGGCGGACGGGUGAGUAACACGUGGGUAACCUACCUAUAAGACUGGGAUAACUUCGGGAAACCGGAGCUAAUACCGGAUAAUAUUUCGAACCGCAUGGUUCGAUAGUGAAAGAUGGUUUUGCUAUCACUUAUAGAUGGACCCGCGCCGUAUUAGCUAGUUGGUAAGGUAACGGCUUACCAAGGCGACGAUACGUAGCCGACCUGAGAGGGUGAUCGGCCACACUGGAACUGAGACACGGUCCAGACUCCUACGGGAGGCAGCAGUAGGGAAUCUUCCGCAAUGGGCGAAAGCCUGACGGAGCAACGCCGCGUGAGUGAUGAAGGCCUUCGGAUCGUAAAACUCUGUUAUUAGGGAAGAAUAUACGUGUAAGUAACUGUGCACGUCUUGACGGUACCUAAUCAGAAAGCCACGGCUAACUACGUG
rnacentral:rRNA from 1 species